rnacentral:misc_RNA from 1 species
GAUGAAGAACGUAGCGAAAUGCGAUAAGUAGUGUGAAUUGCAGAAUUCAGUGAAUCAUCGAAUCUUUGAACGCACAUUGCGCCCCUUGGUAUCCCGAGGGGCAUGCCUGUUCGAGCGUCAUUUCACCACUCGAGCCUGGCUUGGUGUUGGGCGACGUCCCCUUUAGGGACGCGCCUCGAAACGCUCGGCGGCGUGGCACCGGCUUUAAGCGUAGCAGAAUCUUUCGCUUUGGAAGUCGGGGCCCCGCCUGCCGGAAUACCUACUCGUAAGGUUGACCUCGGAUCAGGCAGGGAUACCCGCUGAACUUAAGCAUAUCAAUAAGCGGAGGA